CGGGGUGUAGCUCAGCCUGGUAGAGCGCCAGCUUUGGGAGCUGGAUGCCGCUGGUUCGAAUCCAGUCACCCCGACCA
rnacentral:tRNA from 1 species